CGGCCCCCUGACGUUUCAGUGCAGUUAACUUAAGAGAUUUUGGAGGACACACAAACCACUCCACAGCGGAUUCCUACAAGAUUAAUAAAAUAAUAAUGAAACAUUGUGGGACGUGCAGGACCCCGAGCAGAGCAGAGCUACGAUGCUGUCCCAGCUCACAUCAGGCAGCAGUUAGACCAACCAGGAGGAGGUGGUAGCAGCAGAGGGAGAGGAGCCUUCAGUCUCUCUGUGGAGGAAACACUGUUUGCUAAGGCUUCUAACAGCCAGGAUAUAGACCGAUAGAGUAUGUAUUGAUCAUAUUUUACUGAGAUACUCAAUUAACACUUACAAUAACCUUUUUCUUAAGUUUAUUUUCAUUUGUGUACUUGUAGUUUCUAAGUCCAUUGUAUAU